rfam:Halanaerobium hydrogeniformans chromosome, complete genome.
UCCACCGUGAGGUGGAAUCUGAAGGAAGUUGGAGGCAAAGCUUCGGUCUGAGGAAUACGAACUGUAUAAAAAAGGCACAAUCUUGUGGGUAAGUUUGCAUAACAAAACAAAGCCCAAAACUAUUCGAGACGGGAAGUGUAAAUACAGCAGAUAGAUGUAGUGAAAGCAAAUAUU